AGAGUUUGAUCAUGGCUCAGGAUGAACGCUAGCUACAGGCUUAACACAUGCAAGUCGAGCGGUAUGUGCUUUAGUGCAUACAGCGGCAGACGGGUGAGUAACACGUAUCUAACCUUCCCCUUACUUGGGCAUAGCCUCUGGAAACGGAGAUUAAUUUCCGAUGUGGUGUACAUUUCGCAUGUUUUGCGCACCAAAGAUUUAUCGGUAAGGGAUGGGGAUGCGCUCCAUUAGGUUGUAGGUAGGGUAAUGGCCUACCUAGCCUAUGAUGGAUAGGGGUUCUGAGAGGAAGGUCCCCCACAUUGGAACUGCGACACGGUCCAAACUCCUACGGGAGGCAGCAGUGAGGAAUAUUGGUCAAUGGCCGGAAGGCUGAACCAGCCAAGUAGCGUGCAGGAUGACUGCCUUAUGGGUUGUAAACUGCUUUUUUACGGGAAUAAUUAUGAUCACGUGUGAUUAUUUGCAUGUACCGUAAGAAUAAGGAUCGGCUAACUCCGUGCCAGCAGCCGCGGUAAUACGGAGGAUCCUAGUGUUAUCCGGAUUUAUUGGGUUUAAAGGGAGCGUAGGCGGGAGGUCAAGUCAGCUGUGAAAUGUAUCUGCUUAACGGGUACACUGCAGUUGAAACUGGUUUUCUUGAGUGCGUAAGAGGCAGGCGGAAUUCGUUGUGUAGCGGUGAAAUGCUUAGAUAUGACGAGGAACUCCUAUUGCGAAGGCAGCUUGCUGGGUCGUUACUGACGCUGAUGCUCGAAGGUGCGGGGAUCAAACAGGAUUAGAUACCCUGGUAGUCCGCACAGUAAACUAUGGAUACUCUCUGCCGGCGAUACAU
rnacentral:rRNA from 1 species